UGCCCCACAGUUCCCCGCCCGGGAACAAGGAGCUGGUAUCAGGCACACCCUACUGAGCCCAUGACACCUUGCUUAGCCACACCCUCAAGGGAACUCAGCAGUGAUAGACAUUAAGCCAUAAGUGAAAACUUGACUUAGUUAAAGCUAAGAGGGCCGGUAAAACUCGUGCCAGCCACCGCGGUUAUACGAGAGGCCCGAGUUGAUAGACGCCGGCGUAAAGAGUGGUUAAGUUAGAGCCCAAACUAAAGCCAAACAUCUUCAAGACUGUUAUACGUACCCGAAGACAGGAAGUUCAACCACGAAAGUGACUUUAUUUAAUCUGAACCCACGAAAGCUAAGGAACAAACUGGGAUUAGAUACCCCACUAUGCCUAGCCCUAAACAUUGAUAGUACUCUACACCCACUAUCCGCCCGGGAACUACGAGCAAUAGCUUAAAACCCAAAGGACUUGGCGGUGCUUUAGAUCCACCUAGAGGAGCCUGUUCUAGAACCGAUAACCCCCGUUCAACCUCACCCUUCCUUGUUAAUCCCGCCUAUAUACCGCCGUCGUCAGCUUACCCUGUGAAGGCUAAAUAGUAAGCAAAGCUGGUACAACCCAGAACGUCAGGUCGAGGUGUAGCGUAUGGAGGGGGAAGAAAUGGGCUACAUUCGCUACUUACAGCGAACACGAAAGGCGGACUGAAAUGUCCACCCGAAGGAGGAUUUAGCAGUAAGUGU
rnacentral:rRNA from 1 species